UGGUACUUUAAAUGAAGUAGAAUAUAUACAUCAAAAUAAAUUUUAAUUUUAAAUAUUGAGGAACGAAAAUUAAGGCUUUGUUUAGAAUUACAGAGAGAUUACGUUACGUAUGGUGAGAAGUACAAUGCGAAAAUACUCUGUUUGUUUCUGUACUAAUAUUGUGUUUCGCAUAUCGCGACGAGUCGGCUACGAUACUUUUGGUGAUCCCACCGGAGAAUGCAGAAGCAUAUCCUUAUAUGCUUAUAAAAUUCAACUUUUAUAUAUUAUUCUUAUAAAAAUCCGGAUAUUUUCAAAUAUGUCUCUGCCGUUAGAAUCUAUUAGAAAAAUUUAGUUAACCAUAGAUUAAAUACUUAACCCUGAAAAGUUAAUAUGGUGAAUUAACCUUUUUACCCCUCUUUAAUUAACAGUUGAAAUUUUUAGAGGAAUAUAUUUGUAAUAAUAAAAAGGUUAUUUUACUUAUAAAAUAGAGGAACAUAUUUGAAAGCAUUAGAACUUUUAUACAAACAAUAUAUGAAACUUCAAUUUUGUAGGGUUAUAUUUACAAUUCAUUAUAUUAUAGAAAUUUGUAUGAAAUUAAUACUUUUAUCUAAUACCGUCAGAUAGAUUUCAAUAUCAAACUAAGCCUAACAGCAGUGCACGCGUA
rnacentral:lncRNA from 1 species